CAAAGUGAAGGGUGUCUGGAUAACACAGAUUACACUCAAUAGAGUACAGAUCAGAAAAGUUGAAGAAUUAGAGGGAGGAGGUGUUAGGGAUAUUCUGGAGUGGACACAAGGCACUUUCAAGAUGGAGUAAAGGGUGUCUGGAUUACAUUGAUUACACUCAAUAGAGUAGAGGUCAGGAAAUGAAAUUCUGUCACUCUUCUGGUUUCCGGUCAAUAUAAAUUGUGGGCUUUCACAAUCACAGUGGAGCAGAAUAAAUAUCCAGAUGCAUUAUCAUAUCAUUCACAAAAAGUGGACAGUGAAGCUAACUGCGCAUGUUUUCCUAGUUAACAGUCUUUUUUCUUUUGUUCAGGAUGCCAUCUGCAAUUCUACAAUUCUUGAAUUGGCAUGCAAUGGAGUUGGACUCUGUGGGCAUCAAUUUAUUUUCUUCCUAUUCGAUCAAUAAUACUAUGCCGAAAGCUGCAGGAAUGGGAUUUGGAGUCGUGGAGCAUGAACCUUGCAAAAAGGAUUAAAAACACAAGGUAAGUGGGAUGUGAAGGAACUGAUUAGAAGUUAAUUGGCAUUUGGCAACUAACUGUUUCAAUAUCCACCUGAAUGUGCUGUGUUUCCUUGGGGUAAUCGAGGGACCCAUAACCCUCUGGCUUAGACCGUAAAGGUUUGUGUUGAGCCAUUCCUCAUUCACAUUGUUCACCAUUGGACUCGGACGGUACACAGGAACACCCAAAACUC
rnacentral:misc_RNA from 1 species